rnacentral:rRNA from 1 species
UACGUAGGGGGCAAGCGUUGUCCGGAAUCAUUGGGCGUAAAGCGCGUGUAGGCGGCUGAGUAAGUCUGCUCUGAAAGCCCGGGGCUCAACCCCGGGAGGCGGGUGGAUACUGCUCAGCUCGAGUCCGGAAGAGGAGUGUGGAAUUCCUGGUGUAGCGGUGAAAUGCGCAGAUAUCAGAGGAACACCAGGUGGCGAAGGCGGGUCU